GGCAACGUGGCGGAGUGGUUAACGCGAUUGACUCGAAAUCAAUUUCCUUCGGGAGCGCAUGUUCGAAUCAUGCCGUUGUCG
rnacentral:tRNA from 16 species